rnacentral:lncRNA from 1 species
AAUCCCACUCAGCAGCUUUGCUCAGUGGUUUGCUCACCACCACGUCAGGCUGGAAACACCCCACCCUUUGCGUUUCUUUUGCUCUUCUAAUUCCCCUGCCCUGGCAAACACCAGCUCCCUCCACCAGGAAAUCUCCCAGAGAGGCUUGGUACCGUGGAGCACACGCUGUACUGUACACACAGGAAGCCCCGGCCUCAGCUUUGACUGAUG